rnacentral:rRNA from 1 species
UACGUAGGGUGCAAGCGUUAAUCGGAAUUACUGGGCGUAAAGCGUGCGCAGGCGGCUUUGCAAGACAGAUGUGAAAUCCCCGGGCUCAACCUGGGAACUGCAUUUGUGACUGCAGGGCUGGAGUACGGCAGAGGGGGAUGGAAUUCCGCGUGUAGCAGUGAAAUGCGUAGAUAUGCGGAGGAACACCGAUGGCGAAGGCAGUCCCCUGGGCCUGUACUGACGCUCAUGCACGAAAGCGUGGGGAGCAAACAGG